GAUGAACGCUGGCGGCGUGCCUAAUACAUGCAAGUCGAGCGAACAGACGAGGAUCUUGCUCCUCUGACGUUAGCGGCGGACGGGUGAGUAACACGUGGAUAACCUACCUAUAAGACUGGGAUAACUUCGGGAAACCGGAGCUAAUACCGGAUAAUCUAUUGAACCGCAUGGUUCAAUAGUGAAAGACGGUUUUGCUGUCACUUAUAGAUGGAUCCGCGCCGCAUUAGCUAGUUGUUAAGGUAACGGCUUACCAAGGCAACGAUGCGUAGCCGAACUGAGAGGGUGAUCGGCGACACGGGAAGUGAGACACGGACAAGAGUCCUAAGGGAGGCAGCAGUAGGGAAUCGGACGCAAUGGGCGAAAGCAUGACGGAGCAACGCCGAGUGAGUGAUGAAGGUCUUCGGAUCGUAAAACUCUGUUAUGAGGGAAGAACAAAUGUGUAAGUAACUAUGCACGUAUUGACGGUACCUAAUCAGAAAGCCACGGCUAACUACGUG
rnacentral:rRNA from 1 species